AACGAACGCUGGCGGCAUGCCUAACACAUGCAAGUCGAACGAGACCUUCGGGUCUAGUGGCGCACGGGUGCGUAACGCGUGGGAACCUGCCCUUAGGUUCGGAAUAACUCCCCGAAAGGGGUGCUAAUACCGGAUAAUGUCUUCGGACCAAAGAUUUAUCGCCUUUGGAUGGGCCCGCGUUGGAUUAGCUAGUUGGUAGGGUAAAAGCCUACCAAGGCGACGAUCCAUAGCUGGUCUGAGAGGAUGAUCAGCCACACUGGGAAUGAGACACGGCCCAGACUCCUACGGGAGGCAGCAGUGGGGAAUAUUGGACAAUGGGCGAAAGCCUGAUCCAGCAAUGCCGCGUGAGUGAUGCAGGCCUUAGGGUUGUAAAGCUCUUUUACCCGGGAUGAUAAUGACAGUACCGGGAGAAUAAGCUCCGGCUAACUCCGUG
rnacentral:rRNA from 1 species